ACUCUUUCUUGUGGGAAUCUCAUAAUGAUGCUCUCUGCUACACACAGUUUGACUGACUCAUUGGAUUCCCCACCGUUCGUUAGAUCCUUUCUUCCGUCUUUACCUGACCUUCUUCAUUGGGAACAUAGACGCUCCGCACCGUACACGUGUCAUCGAUCAAAAUGAAUUAAACGCCAUCAAAACUAUAAACGGCAAUACCAUUUCACUUGU